rnacentral:antisense_RNA from 1 species
UGUGGGAGCGAGCUUGCUCGCGAUAGCGAUGUAUCAGUUGAUAUUGAUGUGGCUGACCCUCCGCCAUCGCGAGCAAGCUCGCUCCCACA